rnacentral:snRNA from 1 species
UUGAGGAUGAUGGAGCUUGGGUAUCUGUCAACUCACCGGUUGCCAGAGUCCAUGUGACUAAUAUGGCUGGCUUGAUGUCCUCUUCCUCACUCAUCACAUAGUGAGGAAUCCUCCUGAAAUUCCGUGCCUGGUCAGAGAGAAUGAUGUUCCCUAGUAGAGAAGAACUGUUCUUCAAUCAAAAGUAAGCUGUCACAGAACUCCCCUGCAAGAACCUUUGUACCAGUUAAACUAUUACUGGUGAAUUUAAGCAGAAAAUGAGGAUUAUUAUAAGGGUAGUGGGCAUAUUUUUAGAAGAAAAUGUAAAAAAAAAAGUAUGACCUUGGUAAUGAUGAGGAAACAUUUCUU